rnacentral:ribozyme from 1 species
UGCCCAGCAACUCCUAUCCCUACCUCCACGCGGUACCGGCCGGAAACUACCCAAGUAACACCUCGAAACAUGUUGCUGCUAAAAAAGUUGU